ACGCUCGACACCUACGGGAGGCAGCAGUCGGGAAUAUUGCGCAAUGGAGGAAACUCUGACGCAGUGACGCCGCGUGCAGGGGAAGAAGGUUUUCGGAUUGUAAACUGCUUUAGACAGGGAAGAAAGAAAUGACAGUACCUGUAGAAUAAGCUCCGGCUAACUACGUGCCAGAAGCCGCGGUAAUCUGAGCGGGCUGGCAAGGC
rnacentral:rRNA from 1 species